CUAAGUCCAAGACUGUCUCAAUAUGACUUCUUGCCUAGCAAAAUGCUUACUUUCCUGAGUGCUAAAAAGAAUCGCUUCCAUUGUGAGCCUUUGGUUACUGAAAUGCGCACUUGUGAAAAUGCACACCAGUGAGUUGUUCACUAGCGAAAUGCUUAACUGAGUCAUGCUCAAUGGAAUGUCUUUCAGUAUAAUUUCGUUCGUACCGCUAUGAUUCAUUACCUAAGUGAACAACAGCGUUUUUUGCCAAAUGGAAUGUUUACUCAUCUGACUGCCCGAAAAGCAACUCUGUCAAAGUGAAUUCUUGCAUACCACAACGUCCUCGUGCCUAAGCCCAAGACUGUUUCAAUAUGACUUCUUGCCUAGCAAAAUGCUUACUUUUCUGAGUGCUAAAGAAAGAAUCGCUUCCAUCGUGAGCCUUUGGCUACUGAAAUGCGCACAAAAGCAUGUCACUCAAAGUGAGUUGUUCACUAGCGAAAUGCUUAACUGACUCAUGCUCAAUGGAAUGUCUUUCAGUAUAAUUUCGUUCGUACCGCUAUGAUUCAUUACCUAACUGCUCAGCAGCGUCUUUCAUCAUGAGUUUUUUUUGCUAACCGAAAUGUUUACUCCCCUGCUUGCCGAAAAGGACAUCUCUCAAACUGAGCUCUUGCUUACCGCAAUGUUCUCGUGCCUAAGUCCAAGACUGUUUCAAUAUGACUUCUUGCCUAGCAAAAUGCUUACUUUUCUGAGUGCUAAAAAAGAAUCGCUUCCUUCGUGAGCCUUUGGUUACUGAAAUGCGCACUUGUGAAAAUGCACACAAAAGUUUUGUCUCUCAAAGUGAGUUGUUGACUAGCGUAAUGCUUACCUGACUAACAGCGCAAUGGAAUGUCUUUCAAAGUGACUUGCUCCACAUCUAUAUCCUUAAUCAUGUGACUGUGCAAUAGCAUGUCUUUCCUCAUCGAGCUGUUGAUUCGUCUGUCUGCCGAAAAGGACAUCUCUCAAACUGAGCUCUUGCUCACCGCAAUGUUCUCGUGCCUAAGUCCAAGACUGUUUCAAUAUGACUUCUUGCCUAGCAAAAUGCUUACUUUUCUGAGUGCUAAAAAAAAGAAUCGCUUCCAUCGUGAGCCUUUGGCUACUGAAAUGCGCACAAAAGCAUGUCACUCAAAGUGAGUUGUUCACUAGCGAAAU
rnacentral:lncRNA from 1 species